rnacentral:rRNA from 1 species
GACGAACGCUGGCGGCGUGCUUAACACAUGCAAGUCGAACGGAAAGGCCCUGCUUUUGUGGGGUGCUCGAGUGGCGAACGGGUGAGUAACACGUGAUUAACCUGCCCUUGACUUUGGGAUAACUUCAGGAAACUGGGGCUAAUACCGGAUAGGAGCUCCUGCUGCAUGGUGGGGGUUGGAAAGUUUCGGCGGUUGGGGAUGGACUCGCGGCUUAUCAGCUUGUUGGUGGGGUAGUGGCUUACCAAGGCUUUGACGGGUAGCCGGCCUGAGAGGGUGACCGGCCACAUUGGGACUGAGAUACGGCCCAGACUCCUACGGGAGGCAGCAGUGGGGAAUAUUGCACAAUGGGCGGAAGCCUGAUGCAGCAACGCCGCGUGCGGGAUGACGGCCUUAGGGUUGUAAACCGCUUUCGCCUGUGACGAAGCGUGAGUGACGGUAAUGGGUAAAGAAGCACCGGCUAACUACGUG